rnacentral:lncRNA from 1 species
ACUUUAUUAGUUAAAACCCAAAGAUAUCGUCAAAUUAAGAAUAAAAAGAUUACAAGAAAGAAGAGGAAGGAGGUAGAAUUAUAUGUACAACAAUAGUAGAUUCAGCAGACCACGAAUGGGAGUCACCAUGGACAGCAAGCAGGCGCAGCGGUUAGUUGAAUACCUGCAGCCCGCACAACCGCGCAGGAUGACAGAAGAGAGAAGGAUUAUCGCACCAAAGCCGACAACAACCAGCGAAAAAAAUAUUUUAGAAUCUCAAAGUCUCAUCUCUCAUAUAUAAAGUAAAACUAAUAACUUCAAUUGAUUAUGUUAAUGGAUGAUGUAUUACUUAAAUGAAAUUUGACCUUAUUUAACUUGUAAAAAAUUUCUUCUAUUGUCAUGGUUAUAGGAAAAUAGAGAAGGUUGAAUUCUAGUAACCAUUGAAUUUUUUGGGAAAAGUUGAAAUUCUUCAUUAAUUUUAACGUUAGGAGUUGGAAUUUGGGAACUAAAGGAGGUUUGGAGAAGUCAAGGAGUUGGACAUGAAGGCGAAGAAUUUAAGGCUCCUUUUAAUUUAUUUUCUUUUUUUUUCUUGUCUUCAAUGAAGCGUUGAUCAAAAAACUUAAAAAGUUAAAAGAUUUUUUUCCUACAUUAAAAGCUGAAAAAAAUACUCUCAAACUACUCCCAAAGUCAGGCCUAUAUAUUUGAUAAUGAUCAAAAGCAUAGUUUGGACUAUGCUUGACCUUUUACAAUAGCCGAUGAGGAAACCAAGGGCAAGUAAGAGUCUUCACCCUAACUUCAAGCUUCUAACUUCUAACUUCGUCCCUGACGAUGGCAUUAAGGGCCGAGUCAUAUUUUGCAGGGAAGGAAGGCCAUUAGUUUUUAAACGAGCAGAAGUGAAUAAUCUAUGAUACUGAGGUUAGAACUUUGUUCGUCAUACUUUGGAGUUACAAGAUAUAUUGCACCAUGCUUUCUAUUUACUUUUUACGCUUAAAUAGUUUUCAUAUUAUGUGUUGAUUAUUUUUAAUUUGUAAGAAAAUAUUUAUUAAGUGAUAUUUAUCACGAUUUUAUGCAAAAGAAUAGAAGUUUUUUUAAGAUAAAACUAGGCUAAUUAUGGAGAUACGGGAGUCAGAUUUUAUCUCUUUUCUUUUAUGAUCAUCCUUUGACUUUGAUUAAGAAAUAUUUCAAGAUAUUAUGGAGGAUUAUUCUAAAAUUUUACUAAAGUAUUAUCAAUUCUCUACAAUCAUGCUACACACCUAUAAAAGAAUAGUUUUCCAUAUACGUUGUACAGGCCCAAAUUUGCCCGGCCCAGACUCAACAAGCCCAAAUCCCUAACCUAAACCAAAACCCAAAAUAACCCAAUAAUUAGAAAACCCUAAAGGCCCAACUGACCCAAAAUUUUAAACUGAACAGAACCCUUGCCCUUGACCAGCAGCCUCCACCUUCCGCUCACCCAUUUGCCUCGAGCAUACCGCCCACGCCUGGCCCCGAGGCCUGACCACCUCUACUCGUCUUUGCGCCAACCCCGUCCUAUUACUUCCGUCUAGACCUGCAAACGAAACAAGAAAAAGUGCAGAGAGACACGCAAAGUAAAGAGAAAAACAGAAGCAACAAAUAGAAAAAGGGUAGCAAAAUAAAUAGGCAUUCGGCUAUGAAAAAAGGGGGGGAUGAUUUUAGGGGGUUUUCGAAUACAAAAAACGUUGUAUUACAGGAGAUCGGGGAAAUCAAGAGUAAAAAUAAGAAAAAGGUUGUUUUUGGAUUCUAUUCUUUUUUCUUUUUUUCUUUUCGAUCCUUUUUUAUUUAUUUAUUUUUGGUUUCAAAUCCAUUUUAAAACAAAAAUAAAAGGAAAAGGAGACUUACCUGAACGACCCUGCGAUGUCGUCGUCGGGAACUUCUCUCCUGGCGUCAAACUCGGGCUUAAAGGGAAGCCAAGGACCUUUCUUUCGGCUUUUGGGUUGAGAAGGUUCGACCUCUAGACGCGUUCCAAAUGAGGGCUAAAAUCCCCUCUUUGCGCGACCACGACCACCGCACGCGGUGGGCCACGAUGGAGGCAUAACGGCGGUGCAAAGGCUAGGGUUCAAAACCCUAGCAGAGAAAAGAGGGGAGAGUUCCAGAAUUUUUUUUUAAAAAGUGGCAGUGGGAAUGAAUUUUAGAAAAAAAAUUGAUUUUUAUAAGGGCACAAAAACGGUGCCGUUUUGCACCCAAUGCCCUAGCGUCGAAACGGCGUCGUUUAGAGCAGAUUCGCGC